rnacentral:lncRNA from 1 species
GGGUGAGUCAGGAUUAAGUAUAGGAUUAUACUAUAGAGCAUAGGAUUUUUCUGUAUGUUAUUUUAUGAGUCAUUUACAAUUCAGUAAAAUAUAUUUGGGGAUGAGAUUUUAGAGUUCUUUUUGGCUCUACUUGAGACAAAAUUUUAUAUCAUUCAGUUUACAAUCAAGAUUUGUAUUUUGAUAGAAAGUCAAUUAAUCAAUUCGGAGGAUAUUGAUCAGAGUUGUGCAGCGAAAGUAUAGUGGAUCGAGUCAAUUUAAAUUGGUCAAAAAUAUUGACUGUGAUGGGAGACUAGAUUUUUCAAUAAUGAAGAUUUGUGUUAAUAAGAGAAGGUGAAUAUUGUAG